GAGCAAAUGGUUUCUAUAGCCCUAGAAUUAUAUCUCCUCAAACUUUAUCUCUUUUCUCUAACCCAGAUGCGGUUUCUCUUCAUCUUCUUCAUCUUUUCCACCAAACUGAAACUACCAAACCCUAACCCUGAACCCCUCGUUUCAUUAUAAAUCGUUCAUACUAAUGUACUUCAUUCGAUCCAAGAUUCGUUUCUCCCUGAACCCAUGAUUCGUUCUCUAACUUUGCAUUAAUUUCUUCGAUCUGUAAUGCUUUCUUCUUAUUUAAAUUUCCUUGAUCUGUAAUAUUUUCUUCUUCUUCAAUUUCUUCGAUCUGUGAUAUUUUCUUCUCUCAUUAAUUUCUUGGAUCUGUAACACUAUCUUCUUUCAUCAAUUUCUUCGAUCGGUUCUAAUCAAUUCUUCUUCUAUUUCGUCCUAUAACUAAUGAAGAAAUCGAACCUCUUUUGAUUUCGUCAUUAGUAGUAUAUCAAUGAAGAGCACAACAGAAAUCAGUGAUGAAGAGGUAUUGAUUUGAAGCAAUUCUUCUCUACUGGGAAUUAUCAGUGGAUUUCUUCGUGUUAUGGGUAAUUAUCAGUAUUACAUCUACAAUUGGCAGGAUGUGUAUCAGUAAUCAUGUGGGAUGUGGCUACCGAGAGAAGGGAAAACAACCUGGUCGAGAAAUUGUAUGAUGAGCAGAACUAGUUCAGGUUUCUUUGGCCAUGGUCUUGUGAUUUCAAGCAAGGUAAUUGAUGAUAAAUUCUGUUAUAUAUCGUUGAUAUAAUUUGAAAUUUAUUGCCUGUGUAAGGGUGUUGGUAUUAAAAUUUUGUAAUAUAUCCUUGAUGUAAUUUGAAAUUUAUUGCAUGUGUAAUUUGAAAUUUAUCGCCUGUUGGUAUUAUAUGGAUCAUAUAAGCAUCAAGGUGUUAAGAUCUAAAGCCAGGGGAAAGGAAUUUCACAGCCAGAGGAAAGGAAUUUGAUACGAAAUUGCUGGAACCAACAAAAAACUAAAGGUUUUUGAUUGCGAUUCUGUUGGUGGUCGUGUUUAAUAUGUAGAAAAUGAAGUUUACAAUUUGAGCAGGUUUUACAAUUUGAGUAGGUGAGGAUUUGAAUGAUGGAUUGAACAAAUUUACAUCCAGGGUUCCAAAGAAGGGUGGUAUGAUGCCGUAGCUUUGCAUUUGUUGUUAUGCUAGUUAUAGUUCUGACAGGAAGUUACGAUGAAAAAUGAAGCUGCUGGUAGUGGUGAUUGUCCAGUGCUAUUGAAUUGGUUGUUCUUCAUCUCAGCUUGAGCAUGUUUAACUUCAAAGUCUGAAUGAUAAAUGGAGAUUGUUGGAGGAUCCUUAAAGGUGUCAUUUGUAGACAGUAUUUGUUUCUGGAUCAAGCAACUCCUUACCCCAAGGGUGGAAGGACCAUGGCAUAUAAUUGUAUGAUCAUUUUUUUUUUCGUGUGUUAGAAAACCAGGUUGCAUUUCUUUAAUUCGCAAUGUGGAUUGUAACUAAAUAACAUCAAUAUUCAGAUUGGAUAAGUGAUAAUAGAUUGUUGAAGUUGUAAAAUGAGUUUAGUUAAUAUAAUUUUCAUUAAAUAUCAGUUUACAAUUUAGGUUUCAA